CAGUCGCCACGGUAAUACAGAGGGUGCAAGCGUUAAUCGGAAUUACUGGGCGUAAAGCGCGCGUAGGUGGUUCGCCAAGUUGGAUGUGAAAUCCCCGGGCUCAACCUGGGAACUGCAUCCAAAACUGGCGAGCUAGAGUAUGGUAGAGGGUGGUGGAAUUUCCUGUGUAGCGGUGAAAUGCGUAGAUAUAGGAAGGAACAUCAGUGGCGAAGGCGACCACCUGGACUGAUACUGACACUGAGGUGCGAAAGCGUGGGGAGCAAACAGGAUUAGAUACCCGCGUAGUCCCUGUCUCUUAUAC
rnacentral:rRNA from 1 species